rnacentral:rRNA from 1 species
GACGAACGCUGGCGGCAUGCCUAACACAUGCAAGUCGAACGGAGAUUAUUUCGGUAAUCUUAGUGGCGAACGGGUGAGUAACGCGUGGGCAACCUGCCCUCUAGAUGGGGACAACAUCCCGAAAGGGGUGCUAAUACCGAAUGUGACAGCAAUCUCGCAUGAGGAUGCUGUGAAAGAUGGCCUCUAUUUAUAAGCUAUCGCUAGAGGAUGGGCCUGCGUCUGAUUAGCUAGUUGGUGGGGUAACGGCCUACCAAGGCGAUGAUCAGUAGCCGGUCUGAGAGGAUGAACGGCCACAUUGGGACUGAGACACGGCCCAGACUCCUACGGGAGGCAGCAGUGGGGAAUCUUCCGCAAUGGGCGAAAGCCUGACGGAGCAAUGCCGCGUGAGUGAUGAAGGAAUUCGUUCCGUAAAGCUCUUUUGUUCAUGACGAAUGUGCAGAUUGUGAACAAUGAUCUGUAAUGACGGUAGUAAACGAAUAAGCCACGGCUAACUACGUG